rnacentral:misc_RNA from 1 species
GAGAGACAGGGACCUGAUUUGCAAUCUGGUUGUCAAUUUGAAUACUCAACCUUCCCUCAGACAUUAGAAGAACUAGAGUUGGAGUAUAAGAGGGAGGUGAUGCAACUUGGUAGAAUUCGUGAUAAGGAAGAAGAUGAAGAGAAUAGUAAGCAUCGUGAGACUAUCAAUGAGAUGAGAGAGAAUUGCAUGAAGAAACUGGCUGUACUGAGGGGCACACAUACAAGACAGUGGGAGGAAUUUCUUCAAGUUGAAGCUCAGAGACGUCAACAGCAGUCAUGCCAACAAAUGCC